UAUAAAUCAUCUCUGAUAAGGAAAAUCUAAUGGAAUGCAAAAUGUUGGUUAUGAUAAGACAUUGAAGAAGCAACGCUGAUGUUGAUUCCACGACUGGAUUGCUUCCAUCUAAAACAGCAGCCUCACUGUUUCAGAGGCCACUCACCAUCU